rnacentral:rRNA from 1 species
UACGAAGGUGGCAAGCGUUAUCCGGAAUUAUUGGGCGUAAAGAGCUCGUAGGCGGUUUGUCGCGUCUGCCGUGAAAGUCCGGGGCUCAACUCCGGAUCUGCGGUGGGUACGGGCAGACUAGAGUGAUGUAGGGGAGACUGGAAUUCCUGGUGUAGCGGUGAAAUGCGCAGAUAUCAGGAGGAACACCGAUGGCGAAGGCAGGUCUCUGGGCAUUAACUGACGCUGAGGAGCGAAAGCAUGGGGAGCGAACAGG